GGUGCAUGGUUAUUAUUAUAUUAUGAUUUAAUUGCAAUUGAAUGAAAAUGGUUUUGGAUACUUAUGGUUUGACGUCUCCAGGCAUUUUCAGAGGAAUUAGGGCAAUAGGCACCCUGGAACAUUCCUGAAUUAAUGAGGCUGCAUAAAGCUCCCACAAAUCUACAAGCUCUUCCGACAAGUGAAUUUAGCCUUUUGGAAUGUUAGGGAAAAGGUUGAGGACGCCAAGAUGUAAACAGAGAGUUGAUAACCACUAGUGUUUGAAUAAGGUUGUCAGAUUUGUCAUUGCAGUAUCAGAUUAAUCACUGCUUUUUUUCUGUUGAACAAGAUGCUGUAUAGCAGAAAUAGAAACUGACCAAACUUUCUGUAUAUGAGGAGUACUCAGCUGCUAGAUAGAUGAAUCUGACGGGUGGGAACUGCCUACAGGAGACUGCACUGCUUCAGUGGCAUCUGCUUCUUAUAUUGUGGAUAUAGGAAGGGACCUGGAAUUGUCAGGUUUCACUGGCUGCAGAGAAUAGUCUACUAUAUCUUGAGACUGCUGCAAUCCUGACAGGUGGGUGCUCCGUACUCCAAAACAACCUUUGUGCUGCCGGUUUAUUCUCCGUCUGUGACCUCCAGUGCCGCAUGGCUCUUAGACAGUGAUGCUUCCAAGCUUCAGACAUCACUCAUAGAUGCGCUGAAUUUAGAACAGAUUUCAACUCAAAAGAGAUGUUGUUGGACGUUUCCUAAUCUGUUCUUCCUGGGCCAGACACAGGGAUCCAAAGAGAAACUCAUAAACAAGAAAAAGCAUGCCUACAAAACAGAACAUGGGGAAAACAUUAAAAGAGCAUUUGAGGUCAACAGCCAGGCUAACAGUGAAGAUGGAAUAAAGUACCUUUAUUUGCCAAGACAUUCAGCUGUGAUUCAGAAGUCUUGGGAUCACAAGACUCCACAGGGCUUAUCUUCAGAGGUUAAUUUGAAACAGACGUUCUCAUCAGUGCAUGGUCUCUUUAGUCUCUGUGGCAAUCCAA
rnacentral:lncRNA from 1 species